CAUAAGACUGCUGGAGAAUUUGGAAACAUGUCCUACCAAACUGUCCUAAGGUUACUUAAGGAAGACAUGCAUUUUGGCAGCCACGUUCCCCUGGCCAGCCCAGUUUUGUUUCAUUUGGCGGUCAUGUUCUCUGGCCUGCAGUUUACAGGGAGCACUUUAUGUGUGACUAGUGUAUGUUUUGUUCAUGCUUCAGUUUGUGUUCUAGUGUUGAUUGAUUAAUUUAGUGUUCCAAGCAUGAUAAAACAAAACAGAGGACUUCAUUCACCAUCCUUUUUUUUAAUAGGAAACUUGCACAGAAUCUUGUCCCUGGAAAGUGGUCAGAAAAAACUGGAAGUGAUUUAAAGGGAGUUCCUGUGCAAGAUUAUGGGAAUGACUGUGGUAUCUUCAUGAUCAUGUACAUCUGGUAUAUGGCAAUGGAGGCUUAUUUUGAUUUCACUGUGG